rnacentral:pre_miRNA from 1 species
UGAAUAAAAUGACUUAAACUGCGGUUACGUGGUCAUUUGAGAACUGUGAUGAGUAUACAAUGGUUUUUAUGCUCACGACAAUUUUCAAAGCAUCUCUAUGUUUAUGCUCAUCACAGUUCUUGAUUACCCACUAAACCGAUGUUUAAAAAACCUUUAUGUUUA